ACUUCAGUUUUAAAGUUCAUAAACGUGGCGUAUACUCUACAACUGCCUCAAGACGAAGGUCAAUGAAUUCUGACUCGCUACAAAAAGUUAUCAUUGUCAGCUAUGUUGCAGUGCUUCUGAUGUUAUCACUUCUCUGCUGCUCGGCGUCUAAUCCACAGCAGCAAGGACACCUUGAACACCUUGUUACCUUUAACUCACGGAGCCAGCUCAUCUGCUUCUCCCAGCUGCUGGACGCUGGAAAAGCGAAUUCUCCCGAAAUACAAACAAGAACCACAAAGGAAGCAAAAUCAGAAUCAUCUGCACAGCUUCGGAGAAUACUCGGAUAUUUAGCAGUCACAAUCCUGCUCGCAGGUGAUGUACAUCAAAAUCCUGGACCCGAAAUCAGCUGUCCUGACUCCGCGUGUGAUUCUCCUUCCUUCAGCAUCCUCAAAAGACAAGAUCAUUGAAUGUGGUCCCAACCUGUCCAGUGCAUCGUCCCCGUCCCUGACCCCGUCCACGACCAGUGUUCUUCUCCUCUUCUGUGGUGGGGCAACGCUGCAUGUGGAUCUCCAGCACGGACUGGUUCACAAACUGGGAUGAACAGUGAGGGCACAUCGCUGGUUGCUUGUCUGCAAUGGGACAUCAUCAAGUUGGAGUCAAGUUUGCCUAUUCUGUGUCUUCAACUUAAACAUUAUCUGAUUGCAAAUCGGAGCUUAUCCAUCGAUAGCUGGCUGCGUAUUAUGACAAUGCAGUUCAAUGCUGAUCAUGUAUUCCACAGGAUGUAGGGGUGGAGCAUGUUUGGGAGACAGUUUUUCUAUAGCACAUAUCUGACUUUUCACAGUGGAGAGAACAGGUGCAAAAAAUAAAAGUAAUGAUGGUUCA